rnacentral:rRNA from 1 species
GACGAACGCUGGCGGCGUGCCUAAUACAUGCAAGUUGAGCGCUGAAGGUUGGUACUUGUACCAACUGGAUGAGCAGCGAACGGGUGAGUAACGCGUGGGGAAUCUGCCUUUGAGCGGGGGACAACAUUUGGAAACGAAUGCUAAUACCGCAUAAAAACUUUAAACACAAGUUUUAAGUUUGAAAGAUGCAAUUGCAUCACUCAAAGAUGAUCCCGCGUUGUAUUAGCUAGUUGGUGAGGUAAAGGCUCACCAAGGCGAUGAUACAUAGCCGACCUGAGAGGGUGGUCGGCCAAAUUGGGACUGGGACACGGCCCAAACUCCUACGGGAGGCAGCAGGAGGGAAUCUUCGGCAAUGGACGAAAGUCUGACCGAGCAACGCCGCGUGAGUGAAGAAGGUUUUCGGAUCGUAAAACUCUGUUGGUAGAGAAGAACGUUGGUGAGAGUGGAAAGCUCAUCAAGUGACGGUAACUACACAGAAAGGGACGGCUAACUACGUG